AGUACCCUGCUGGAUAAACUGCCUGGCACACAGCUACUGGAGUCCACAACACAUUGUGGCCCUCAAGAAGCUGUGUAAUAGGACUGAAGGUAGACUGACUGACUGCAGUGUCUGCUAAAACUGUAAGGGGUGACUCAGCAAAUGCUGAAGAACGAAAUGAUUUAACCUGGAAACAAGCAGGAGAAGAAUAAACCAGUAUGUUCGCUAUUUCAUAUUGCUGGGCUUUCCACUAGGCCUUGCUUACUGUGUGUGGUGUCUCAUUCAUAAACAUUAGCAGCUCUUCAAACACAGGCAACUGAUGCCAGCCCUGCAGUGAGCACAAACAAACAGAAAAAACACACAACAGCAGCAGUGUGAAAUACAAAGUUGUGUUUCAUGUCAGGUACAAACAGGCGAUGUGUGUAGUUGUGAAUGUGAAAUGUGUGGACCCCAACAAUGGGAGAGCUGUGAAUUGUAAUAAUAACUGAAGAGAAUAAAGCAUGGAAAAAGCCUUUGAACCUAUCUGUUGUUUGCAAAUUAACCCUAGUUGAUUUAGGAGCAUUGGAAUUAAAGUGUUAAAGAAGUUGCUUUUUGCCUGCAUUUAAUCCAUAAAGAGUUCUGCAAUAAUAACCUUUUGAAGUAUAAUUUUAGAAUAUUCCUUGUGUCCUUGAAACUAUAGUUUUGGAAUAUAUAUAAAGGAAAUAUGCUUAUCUCAUGCAUUAUUGAAGCAGAGAAAAACAGCUUGAGAAAGGAAGAUGAACAUCACCUCAAGGGUUUAUGUUUUCUACCGAAGGGAAGCUGGACAUCACUGUUUAGAUUUAUAGUCUCUGCAAUUAAAAGGUGGACCCACACUUGGGGAGCUGGACCCCACCAGAUGGGAUUCGUCUUUCUUCUUUCGGAAACUGGAUCGUCACCAUCUGGGGAUACUCCUUUGAGAUAUAUCCUGAGAAACUAAGAUCACAAUAGUGUAUAGAAUCAUGAUGUAAUAAUUUGGAAUAAAAAAAAUUGCUGAUGAGUAAAAAAAUUGCAAAUAGAAACUGCUGAAAAAGCUGAUGAGUACCCCUAUAAAUACUUGUAACCCUCAAUUAUCAGUGUGCAGUUGGAGGGAAAACUUCCCCCACUGUACCCAGUGCUGUA